rnacentral:rRNA from 1 species
GAUGAACGCUGGCGGCGUGCUUAACACAUGCAAGUCGAACGGAAAGGCUCCUGCUUGCAGGGGUACUCGAGUGGCGAACGGGUGAGUAACACGUGGGUGAUCUGCCCUGCACUUCGGGAUAAGCCUGGGAAACUGGGUCUAAUACCGGAUAGGACCACAUUUUGGAUGGUGUGGUGGAAAGUUUUUCGGUGUGGGAUGAGCUCGCGGCCUAUCAGCUUGUUGGUGGGGUAAUGGCCUACCAAGGCGUCGACGGGUAGCCGGCCUGAGAGGGUGUACGGCCACAUUGGGACUGAGAUACGGCCCAGACUCCUACGGGAGGCAGCAGUGGGGAAUAUUGCACAAUGGGCGCAAGCCUGAUGCAGCGACGCCGCGUGGGGGAUGACGGCCUUCGGGUUGUAAACUCCUUUCGCUAGGGACGAAGCGCAAGUGACGGUACCUGGAGAGGAAGCACCGGCUAACUACGUG